AAACCGCUUUCAGCAGGGAAGAAGCGAAAGUGACGGUACCUGCAAAAGAAGCACCGGCUAACUAUGUGCCAGCAGCCGCGGUAAUACAUAGGGUGCAAGCGUUGUCCGGAAUUAUUGGGCGUAAAGAGCUCGUAGGUGGUUAGUUACGUCGGGUGUGAAACUCUGGGGCUCAACCCCAGACCUGCACUCGAUACGGGCUAGCUAGAGUUUGGUAGGGGAGACUGGAAUUCCUGGUGUAGCGGUGGAAUGCGCAGAUAUCAGGAG
rnacentral:rRNA from 1 species